rnacentral:lncRNA from 1 species
AGGAAUGAAACAUAAAGGUGACUGUCCUCUUUCUAGCUUUAGUCCCAACAUAGACGUGUGGAUAUUUUACCCAAGGCCCAAAUGAGGUCUCCACUCCCAGGAUGGUUCCGAGACGGCACUUGUCAUUUUUGUAUUGAUCUUCCUUAUUGACAUUCAGUGCCUGUGCUUAUUAAAGCCUCCAGAGCUUGGGGGAGAGGGGGAGCACCUGUCUCAAUUUCUGACAGACCUUUUUGUCUUGUGUGUUGCCCUUUCUGCUACCCCGUGAAAGGUGCCAUCAUUGUCAGGAGAUGCCCAAAGCGCAUAGGAGGCUUUUGGGAAAGCUGGAAUUUGUAUGAUCACUCUGCCAGAACAUUUCAACUGCGCCUAUCUUUUUUCCAGCAUUAAUGAGCAAAGAGCUACAGGAUGUGAGCAGCAAUCAGUCAUCUCUUUUAAUUAAUCUCCUCUCAUUUAGCUAUGCAUGUGCCUUUUAUAGGAGCUUGACAGAGUGUAACGCACACUUCCCUGAAAUGUCUCUCUUAAUUUAUGGCAUUUUUUUUUCAAAGGGGAAGCAGUGCUGCUGUUGACUGAACAUGAAGUGUGCAUCAGCUAAUGCGGCUCUUACUAUUCCGUCCUGUGCAUAUUUACUCAGAACUAAGUCCCACUGUCUGUUAAAUUAAGCUUACGUCCAGGUAAAUGUGCACAGGAUUGCAACAUUAGGCUCAAAAGUGUGUUCUGUUGUUCCAAGGAACAUGCACUGCAUUGCAGAAACCUUAAUCUAAAUCAGUGUAGGGAAAAAUUAGCCCUCGAUAUGUUGCUGGACUGUGACUCCCAACGUCUCUGCUCAUUGACCAUGCUUGUUAGGGGUGAUGGGAGUAGUAGCUUAGCAAUGUCUAAAGGGCCCAAAGUUCCCUGCCCCUAACCUAAACAAUUUACUGCUGAGCACAUAUUGGCCUGUUUUGAAGAUACAGCAGGAGGACCUUUUACUCAGCAGUAGAACAUAUACUUUGCAUGCCAAAGGUCCAAGGUUCAAUCUUUGGCAUCUCCAAUCAAAAAGGUUCUACGAGAACUUAGAAAACUUGUUGUUGUUUAGUCGGGUCCGACUCUUUGUGACCCCAUGGACCACAGCACGCUAGGCACUCCUGUCUUCCACUGCCUCCCGCAGUUUAGUCAUGUUGGUAGCUUUGAGAACACUGUCCAACCAUCUUGUCCUCUGUCGUCCCUUCUCCUUGUGCCCUCCAUCUUUCCCAACAUCAGGGUCUUUUCCAGGGAGUCUUCUCUUCUCAUGAGGUGGCCAAAGUAUUGGAGCCUCAGCUUCAGGAUCUGUCCUUCCAGUGAGCACUCAGGGCUGAUUUCCUUCAGAAUGGAUAGGUUUGAUCUUCUUGCAGUCCAUGGGACUCUCAAGAGUCUCCUCCAGCACCAUAAGUCAAGAGCAUCAAUUCUUCGGCGAUCAGCCUUCUUUAUGGUCCAGCUCUCACUUCCAUACAUCACUACUGGGGAAACCAUAGCUUUAACUGUACAGACCUUUAUUGGCAAGGUGAUAUCUCUGCUUUUUAAGAUGUUGUCUAGAUUUGUCAUUGCUUUUCUCCCAAGAAGCAGGCGUCUUUUAAUUUCGUGACUGCUGUCACCAUCUGCAGUGAUCAUGGAGUCCAAGAAAGUAUAAUCUCUCACUGCCUCCAUUUCUUCCCCUUCUAUUUGCCAGGAGGCGAUGGGACCUGUGGCCAUGAUCUUCGUUUUUUUGAUGUUGAGCUUCAGACCAUAUUUUGGGCUCUCCUCUUUGACCCUCAAUAAAAGGUUCUUUAAUUCCUCCUCACUUUCUGCCAUCAAGGUUGUGUCGUCUGCAUAUCUGAGGUUGUUGAUAUUUCUUCCAGCAAUCUUAAUUCUGGCUAGGGAUCCUUCCAGCCCAGACUUUUGCAUGAUGAAUUCUGCAUAAAAGUUAAAUAAGCAGGGAGACAAUAUACAGCCUUGCCGUAUUCCUUUCCCAAUUUUGAACCAAUCAGUUGUUCCAUCUCCAGUUCUAACUGUAGUUUCUUAUCCCACAUAGAGAUUUCUCAGGAGACAGAUGAGGUGAUCAGGCACUCCCAUUUCUUUAAGAACUUGCCAUAGUUUGCUGUGGUCGACACAGUCAAAUGCUUUUGCAUAGUCAAUGAAGCAGAAGUAGAUGUUUUUCUGGAACUCUCUAGCUUUUUCCAUAAUCCAGCACACGUUUGCAAUUUGGUCUCUGGUUCCUCUGCCUCUUGGAAAUCCAGCUACCAAAUCAGGCCAUUGGAGAUUCCAGCUAAACAUCAGGAAAAACUUUCUGACAGUACGAACUGUUCGAUAGUCUCCCUCAGGAGGUUGUGGACUCUCCUUCCUUGAAGGUUUUUAAGUGGAGCUUGGAUGGCCAUCUGCUGUGGAUGCUUUAGCUGAGUUUCCUGCAUUGCAAGAGGUUGGACUAGAUGACUCCUGGGAUCCCUUCCAACUCUAUGAUUCUAUUAUUCUACCCCACGCUCAGUAUUGUAUACACUGGCAGGGACUCUCCAAGUUUCAGAAGAUUGUCCUUGAAGUUGUAUUUCUGUGGCUCUUGAAGCCUUAACAGUCUUUGUGUUUUGAGAUUAUCUGUGCAGUCAUGAAUACUGGAAACCUGCUGAGUUCUUGUUGUUGAUGUGUGUGUGUGUGUGUGUGUGUGUGUGUGUGGUGAUUUCACAUCAAAAUGUUCAUUAGGUGUAAAAUAGGAUCUCCAUUCAGUCUCCUUCUUCUGGACCUGCAAAAUCUAGAAGGCAAAAACUGGAAGUUAACUUUUCCCCUCCUCUUUCUCCCACCAGGGACAAAUGUUCAUGAAGCCAAGCGCAUUCUGACUGAAAGUGGGCUCCCGAUCACCGCCGCAAGUGACCUUGAAGAUGCUGCCAAGAAGGCAGUGGCCAGUGUGACGAAGAAAUAGAAGACACUUCCAGCAAAGGACUUUAUAUAACAUACAACAUCCCCCAAGUUGUCUCAAAUGCAUAUCUUUUAACCAGCCAGGAGUAAAACUCUAUUUGGUCAGCCUAACCUAUCCAUAAUAAAGUACGAGUUUUUUGGUGUAUAUAAAAAAAAAAAUUGUUUGGAACUUCACACAGAGCUCCUGUUGUUCAGUGAUAUUUCACAAUGGUCCGUGAGUACAGUAUGAUGAGUAACUACUAUCUAUUUCCACUCUGGUUUCUUCCUCAUAUAAUAUGCCAUUGUCAGUGACUUGUAAUUUUUGUAAGGUGUUUUGGUACAUCUUUAAUGUCCUGGAGGAAUAGUAGAGAAUGGUUCGGUCUUUAUUGGUCAUCAUGGCCAGGAUCCAAGGAAGCACACAAUGGGAAUUUUGUUUCUCAAAAAUAGCAGCCUUCCAACAUGGCAAGAAACUUUUGAAACUGCCACAAAUGCCAUUUGUGAUAAGACUUGCCAAUUGAAUUUUUAAAAGACAAAAAAAAAAAAGAUUCCAAAUUGGGUAUGCCCAAAAGCCUUCAGGGUGUAAGAUACAGCUUUCUGAAUCUUGGCCAUUUUUUUUAAAAAACCUUUUCCAACUAGGGCUAGAGAAAUGGUUACAUUUAUAUUAUGUCAUUUGAGCCAAAAUAACAGGAAUUGGAUUUUUCACUUAGAAGAUGCGUACCUGUUUCACACAUGCCUUAAAAUUAAAUGUUUGUGCUUUGAUAUCCACUGUAUACCUCACAUCAGAAGAAAACUCAAAAAUGUAGCUGUGUGAAACCAUACUGAUAUAUCAUAUCAUGAAUGAAUGAGUUUCUCGUGUGAAUACUUAAGCAAUGAAGGACGAAUGCAAUGCAUAGUGCCAUGUUAUUUUGAUAACUGUGUGUCCACUUAAUACUGACUGUGACCUUCCUAAAUCAAUGUGCAUUGUUGCUGGAGAAUCGACAUAGUGUGCUGAAGAUCUUUUUGUGGGUGGGAUGACAUUUCUUCAAACAUUUAUACUGUUAUCCCACUGAGAUUAGUCAAACCUGCCUAGUAGGAGCUGUCAGGGAACCUGCCGUCAUUAAAAAGAAUGUGAAAAAAUAUAUAAACCAUAAUGAGAAUUAUUAGGGCAUAAUCUGGCUUGAGAUAAGAACUUUCCAGUUCUGUUAAUUGCGAAGAAGGUAUUAAUCAUGAGCUUCAUUUUCAUUUUGCAAUAAAUUGAACUUUCAAGUACUUAACGUUGGCUUUAUCGUGCCUUUGAUUUGUGGAAAAUAUGUAUGCAAAAAAGGUGCAGAAGCUGUUGAACUGAUUCAAUAACUAUUAUGCUUAUUUCACAAUGGAAAGAUUUGUUUUUUAAAAAGAAAAACAACUGGAAUGUUCACUGUUGAAAUCUACUUUGUUUUUGGUGCUGGUAAUUCACACGAGUUCUACAAUAAGGAAACAGAAGUAUACGCCACAUUGUCUAACUAACUUAAACCACAAAUGCAUGUGCUGAACUUUUUUGUUUAAUGUUCAGGAAAGACUAUUGAAACUAAUUUAAGUGAAAAUUAUCUAAUAAAUUUUUCAUUGUUAAUA